rnacentral:lncRNA from 1 species
GCGACGCCCUCGGGACCGAGGUCGACGGCGACGCCGAGGGCCUCGAGGACGUCGGCGCUUCCGCACAUGGAGGACACGGACCUGUUGCCGUGCUUGGCGACUUUGGCGCCCGCCGCGGCGGCGAGGAUGCAGGAGCCCGUGGAGAUGUUGACGGUGCCGGCGUCGUCGCCGCCGGUGCCGACGAUGUCGAGGACGUCGUCUCCGGCGUUGACGGCGACCGCGCGAGCGCGCAUCGCGCGGGCCAUGCCGGCCAUCUCCUCAGGGGUCUCGCCCUUGGCGCGCAUCAGCACGAGGAAAGCGGAGAUCUGCGCGGGGUCGGCGUCGAUGAGGGCGUCGAGCGCCUGCUCGGUCUCGUCGGCGGUGAGGUUCUCGGCGGCGCACAGGCGCUCGAUGACGUGGCGGAGAUCCACCGCGCGGCAUCGCACCGAGGAGGAUCGCGCGGCGGGAGAGGAUCGGCGAAGCGACAAUCCUCCCGCGGGCGACGAUCUUCCACCAAUCGCGGAGGCGCCGCGGGUUUUCGCGGCGCGGGACGCGACGAGGCGGGGCGCCGCGAGCGACGCGCGGACGGCGGCCGCGGUGGAGGCCAUUGCACGAGGGUGUAUCACGCGGGAACGCGUCCGGGCG